GGGGGCGAAAUGGGUUCGACAGAGAUAGCUGCUUCAUGGGUGGCAUGCCGAGCUCCCCGACCACUCGUUAAACGGAUGGGACCAAAAUGUAACUGCAGAGCAUCAGCUCGCAAUGGCGGCCUAAGAGGCUGCCCAGUCCUCCCGGCCUUUCCUGCGGGGCGGGAAGGACUGUCGACCAGCAGGAUAGCGUGAGCGAACCGCCCGAUUCGCCAGCGCGAAUCUCUUCGGGCUGGCGGCAAGUAUACCCUUCUCGUGGGGGAUACUUGUCGUGAGGAUAAAACGCGAGGUAAGCAUGUAGAGGCCCACGGGGUGAUAUCUUUGGACGGGGGUUCGAUUCCCCCCGCCUCCACCA
rnacentral:tmRNA from 1 species